AACGAACGCUGGCGGCAUGCCUAACACAUGCAAGUCGAACGAGACCUUCGGGUCUAGUGGCGCACGGGUGCGUAACGCGUGGGAACCUGCCCUUAGGUUCGGAAUAACUCCCCGAAAGGGGUGCUAAUACCGGAUAAUGUCUUCGGACCAAAGAUUUAUCGCCUUUGGAUGGGCCCGCGUUGGAUUAGCUAGUUGGUAGGGUAAAAGCCUACCAAGGCGACGAUCCAUAGCUGGUCUGAGAGGAUGAUCAGCCACACUGGGACUGGGACCCGGCCCAGACUCCUCCGGAAGGCAGCAGUGGGGAUUAUGGGACACGGGGCGAAAGCCGGAUCCACCAAGGCCGCGAAGGUGAUGAAGGCCUUAGGAUGGUAAGCCUCUUUUCCCCGGGAUGUAAUGACAGUACCGGGAGAAUAAGCUCCGGCUAACUCCGUG
rnacentral:rRNA from 1 species